rnacentral:rRNA from 1 species
CCCCGUACAUGGCGCAGCACGCGCGAAAACUCCGCAGCGCGAAAGCGCGACGGGGUCAUUCUGAUCGCCGCCCGCUGAGGGUGGCUUUUGCCCAGUCCAAAAGGCUGGGCGAAUAAGGGGAGGGCAAGUUUGGUGUCAGCCGCCGCGGUAAUACCAACUCCCCGAGAGGUCGGGACGAUUAUAGGGGCUUAAAGCGUCCGUAGCCGGUCCAGUGUGUCUCUGGUCAAAUCCGGCGUCUCAAGCGCCGGACCGCCGGAGAUACUACCGGGCUAGGGAGCGGGAGAGGCGGGCGGUAUUCCCUGGGUAGGGGUGAAAUCCUAAGAUCCAGGGAGGACCAUCGGUGGCGAAGAGCGGCCCGCUAGAACGCGUCACUGACGGUGAGCGGACGAAAGCUCGGGGGAGCGAUCCGGAGUUAGAUACCCGGGUAGUCCCAGCGUGUAAACAGAUGCAGGCUAGGUGUGUGAACGCACUUAGAAAGCGUUCAUAGUGUGCCGAAGGGAAAACCGUUUAAGUGC